rnacentral:rRNA from 1 species
UACGUAGGGGCCUAGCGUUGCCCGGAAUUAUUGGGCGUAAAGAGCUCGUAGGCGGUUCGGCAAGUCGGAUGUGAAAUCUCCACGCUUAACGUGGAGGGGCCAUUCGAAACUGCUGUGACUCGAGUCCGGUAGGGGAGUGUGGAAUUCCCGGUGUAGCGGUGAAAUGCGCAGAUAUCGGGAGGAACACCAGUAGCGAAGGCGGCACUCUGGGCCGGAACUGACGCUGAGGAGCGAAAGCGUGGGGAGCGAACAGG